rnacentral:ncRNA from 2 species
CUCCAACGAGGAUAGAGGAAGUCGGGGCGACCCGGCUGGCCGCGAAAUUCUCC